rnacentral:rRNA from 1 species
UACGUAGGUGGCAAGCGUUGUCCGGAAUUAUUGGGCGUAAAGCGCGCGCAGGCGGUCCCUUAAGUCUGAUGUGAAAGCCCACGGCUUAACCGUGGAGGGUCAUUGGAAACUGGUCGACUUGAGUGCAGAAGAGGGAAGUGGAAUUCCAUGUGUAGCGGUGAAAUGCGUAGAGAUAUGGAGGAACACCAGUGGCGAAGGCGGCUUCCUGGUCUGUAACUGACACUGAGGCGCGAAAGCGUGGGGAGCAAAC